rnacentral:misc_RNA from 1 species
UCUGGCUCAGGGUCGGUUGACAUCCAUCGGGCGUGGCACGUCCGAAGCUGGACCGCAUCGGGCUGUCGUCUCCGCCUAACAGCGGACGUGCAGCCUCAGAGUUUACCGUGCGGAGUUUGCAACGACUCAACUCUUGGACCUAAUCAGUCUGGGUUGGCCUGUCUGCUGGCCGCAUGUGUAGGGUGCCAGCGCUUUCUGCCCGCCUGCCGCCUCAA